rnacentral:rRNA from 1 species
UGGGGAAUUUUGGACAAUGGGCGAAAGCCUGAUCCAGCAAUGCCGCGUGUGUGAAGAAGGCCUUCGGGUUGUAAAGCACUUUUGUCCGGAAAGAAAUCCUUGGCUCUAAUACAGUCGGGGGAUGACGGUACCGGAAGAAUAAGCACCGGCUAACUACGUGCCAGCAGCCGCGGUAAUACGUAGGGUGCAAGCGUUAAUCGGAAUUACUGGGCGUAAAGCGUGCGCAGGCGGUUUGCUAAGACCGAUGUGAAAUCCCCGGGCUCAACCUGGGAACUGCAUUGGUGACUGGCAGGCUAGAGUAUGGCAGAGGGGGGUAGAAUUCCACGUGUAGCAGUGAAAUGCGUAGAGAUGUGGAGGAAUACCGAUGGCGAAGGCAGCCCCCUGGGCCAAUACUGACGCUCAUGCACGAAAGCGUGGGGAGCAAACAGGAUUAGAUACCCUGGUAGUCCACGCCCUAAACGAUGUCAACUAGUUGUU